rnacentral:rRNA from 1 species
AUGUCACUAAGCAGGAGCCAAUCAGACCGAAAUUUGAGUGGCCUGAAUUCUGUGUACCAAACACCAAUUUUUCCUGUUCAUGGUACACCUCUGAAUACCAACUCUGUUGAGCAGGCAACUACUUCACAACCUAAGGAAGAAAAUUUUCUAUCAUCUGAAGCAACUGAUACCAUUUUUUCUAGUGGGGUUAAUGCAAAAAGAAGUUUUAUAUUGAUUAGUUCCGGUUCUUCAAAUGAAAGAUUUAAGCGCUUCCAAGGGACUCCAACCAUUAUUGAGGAUGAUUCUCCUAUCACUCCUGCUGUUGCGACUAACAAAGACAUACCAGCCUCUGACUGUGAUACAAGUGUAGGAAUUCCAAUGAACAUGGACUUUGCUAUCCAACUUGGCUAUUCUAUAAUGUACAAUGCAGAAGCUGGACCAAGUACAUGA